rnacentral:rRNA from 1 species
AGAUUGAACGCUGGCGGAAUGCUUUACACAUGCAAGUCGAACGGCAGCACGGGGGCAACCCUGGUGGCGAGUGGCGAACGGGUGAGUAAUACAUCGGAACGUGCCCAGUCGUGGGGGAUAACUACGCGAAAGCGUAGCUAAUACCGCAUACGAUCUAUGGAUGAAGGCGGGGGACCGAAAGGCCUCGCGCGAUUGGAGCGGCCGAUGUCAGAUUAGCUAGUUGGUGGGUAAAGGCCCACCAAGGCGACGAUCUGUAGCUGGUCUGAGAGGACGACCAGCCACACUGGAACUGAGACACGGUCCAGACUCCUACGGGAGCAGCAGUGGGAAUUUGGACAAGUGGCGCAAGCCUGCACGCACUAGCGCGCG